UACGUAGGUGGCAAGCGUUGUCCGGAAUUAUUGGGCGUAAAGGGCACGUAGGCGGCGAUGCGGGUCAGAUGUGAAAGCCCCGGGCUCAACCUGGGAGGGCCAUUGGAAACUGGGAGGCUUGAGUAUAGGAGAGAAGAGUGGAAUUCCACGUGUAGCGGUGAAAUGCGUAGAGAUGUGGAGGAACACCAGUGGCGAAGGCGACUCUUUGGCCUAUAACUGACGCUGAGGCGCGAAAGCGUGGGGAGCAAACAGG
rnacentral:misc_RNA from 1 species